rnacentral:rRNA from 1 species
GAGAAUGCCGGUGUGAGUAGCGAAAGACGGGUGAGAAUCCCGUCCACCGAUUGACUAAGGUUUCCAGAGGAAGGCUCGUCCGCUCUGGGUUAGUCGGGUCCUAAGCUGAGGCCGACAGGCGUAGGCGAUGGAUAACAGGUUGAUAUUCCUGUACCACCUAUAAUCGUUUUAAUCGAUGGGGGGACGCAGUAGGAUAGGCGAAGCGUGCGAUUGGAUUGCACGUCUAAGCAGUAAGGCUGAGUAUUAGGCAAAUCCGGUACUCGUUAAGGCUGAGCUGUGAUGGGGAGAAGACAUUGUGUCUUCGAGUCGUUGAUUUCACACUGCCGAGAAAAGCCUCUAGAUAGAAAAUAGGUGCCCGUACCGCAAACCGACACAGGUAGUCAAGAUGAGAAUUCUAAGGUGAGCGAGCGAACUCUCGUUAAGGAACUCGGCAAAAUGACCCCGUAACUUCGGGAGAAGGGGUGCUCUUUAGGGUUAACGCCCAGAAGAGCCGCAGUGAAUAGGCCCAAGCGACUGUUUAUCAAAAACACAGGUCUCUGCUAAACCGUAAGGUGAUGUAUAGGGGCUGACGCCUGCCCGGUGCUGGAAGGUUAAGAGGAGUGGUUAGCUUCUGCGAAGCUACGAAUCGAAGCCCCAGUAAACGGCGGCCGUAACUAUAACGGUCCUAAGGUAGCGAAAUUCCUUGUCGGGUAAGUUCCGACCCGCACGAAAGGCGUAACGAUUUGGGCACUGUCUCAACGAGAGACUCGGUGAAAUCAUAGUACCUGUGAAGAUGCAGGUUACCCGCGACAGGACGGAAAGACCCCGUGGAGCUUUACUGUAGCCUGAUAUUGAAAUUCGGCACAGCUUGUACAGGAUAGGUAGGAGCCUUUGAAACGUGAGCGCUAGCUUACGUGGAGGCGCUGGUGGGAUACUACCCUAGCUGUGUUGGCUUUCUAACCCGCACCACUUAUCGUGGUGGGAGACAGUGUCAGGCGGGCAGUUUGACUGGGGCGGUCGCCUCCUAAAAGGUAACGGAGGCGCUCAAAGGUUCCCUCAGAAUGGUUGGAAAUCAUUCAUAGAGUGUAAAGGCAUAAGGGAGCUUGACUGCGAGACCUACAAGUCGAGCAGGGUCGAAAGACGGACUUAGUGAUCCGGUGGUUCCGCAUGGAAGGGCCAUCGCUCAACGGAUAAAAGCUAC